AUGAAGGUGCUUAUAAGAUCUUACAGCACAGAAGAUGACGUGUGGAGUAUAGGUGUGAUAUCAUAUAUUCUAUUAUGUGGUAGUCGUCCAUUUUGGGCUAGAAUAGAGUCAGCAUUGAGUCAUCCUUGGAUACGUAAUUACAAUGAUGUAAAAGUUACGCUUGAUAUUUUAAUAUUCAAGCUCAUGAAGGCUUAUAUGAGAUCAUCAUCUUUGCGUAAAGCUGCCUUAAGGGUGUGUAUUUUGGUUUCUUAA